CGUGAGAUGUUGGGUUAAGUCCCGUAACGAGCGCAACCCUUGUCCUUAGUUGCCAGCAUUUCGGAUGGGAACUCUAAGGAGACCGCCGGUGACAAACCGGAGGAAGGUGGGGAUGACGUCAAGUCAUCAUGGCCCUUAUGGCCUGGGCUACACACGUGCUACAAUGGUUGGUACAGAGGGCUGCAAAAGCGCAAGCUGAAGCUAAUCCUAUAAAGCCAAUCGUAGUCCGGAUUGGAGUCUGCAACUCGACUCCA
rnacentral:rRNA from 1 species